ACACAGCUGUCAAGCACAGCUGUGCCUGCUACACAGCUGACAGCUGUGCCUACAGCUGUCAAGACCCCAGUUGUCUCAAGUACUAUGACAGGAUCCUACUGUAUUAUUCUGCAAGAACAGUUAGGGGCUGAAAUAAAUGAAAAGUUUCAGA